CUCCCUGGCUAUAGGCAAAUAGACACCUUGUUGGUGUUGUUGCUGUUAGAGCAGUCAUGGGCAGAGCAGAUGGAAGUCCUUUGUUCAUCCUAGCUUGAUUCCUGGCUUGGUGGACAAGUCCUGCUUUAUGCCUAGGACUCAUAA